rnacentral:tRNA from 1 species
GACCUCGUCGUUCAAUGGAUAGGACACCAGCUUGCGGAGCUGGUAAUAGGGGUUCGAAUCCUCUCGAGGUCA